AGUCCGGCCGGCGCCAUGAAGGUCAUGGAGUCCUGGAGAUGCCCUCAGGCACCGGGAAGACAGUGUCCCUGUUGGCCCUGAUCAUGGCAUACCAGAGAGUGAGUGAUGCGCUGAACCCGUAAAGGCAGACAAAGGAAGGGGCGGGACAGGGACUGAGUCCGCUUGUUAUCGGCAGGCAUAUCCGCUGGAGGUGACCAAACUCAUCUACUGCUCAAGAACUGUGCCAGAGAUUGAGAAGUAGGUGAUUGAAGAGCUUCGAAAGUUGCUCAACUUCUAUGAGAAGCAGGAGGGCGAGAAGCUGCCGUUUCUGGGACUGGCUCUGAGCUCCCGCAAAAACUUGUGUAUUCACCCUGAGACAACGUCUGCAUCGACUCCAUGAGCGUCAACCUCACCCGCCGGACCCUUGACCGGUGCCAGGGCAACCUGGAGACCCUGCAGAAGACGGUGCUCAGGAUCAAAGAGACAGACGAGCAGCGCCUGC
rnacentral:sRNA from 1 species